UCCCGCCAGGCCCCCUCCACCCGAUCGCCGCGCGCUCUCCGAACCAAAAGGCGACCUCACGAAAUGCCCCUUUGAGCUCAAAGGCUAGUUACCCCCAGGGGCCCUUCCACUCUCGGGGACAGGCGAAACCUCUUUGUCUCUGCCUCGGCCUGCGGCCCCCAGCCCAGCCUCCGCGCUUUCCCUCCGCCAGUCCUUGUCAAUCAAACCUGGUGCCAAACGCGGCAGCUGAAGUUUUCAGGGACACAUUUGCUUCUCCCCUUGAAGAACCAGUUACAAAGCGUGAUGUCCUCUCUGGGGUCCCAUCAGAACAAAGAAACAGGGAAGCAGCGGAAUACAAGAGACUGAACUGUAUCUGCCUCUGUUUCCAAAAGAUUCACGUUCAACUUUCACUCACACAAAGCCGGGAAAAUUUUACUUUUUUUUUUUUUUUUUUAGACAGAGUCUCGCUCUGUCACCAGACUGGAGUGCAGUGGCUUGAUCUCGGCUCACUGCAACCUCCGCCUCCCAGGUUCAAGCGAUUCUCCUGGCUCAGUCUCCCAAGUAGCUGGAAUUACAGGCACCCACUACCAUGCCCAGCUAAUUUUUGUAUUUUUAGUAGAGACGGGGUUUCACCAUGUUGGUCAGGAUGGUCUCGAUCUCCUGACCUCGUGAUUCGCCCGCCUCGGCCUCCCAAAGUGAUGGGAUUACAGGCGUGAGCCACCGCGUCCGGUCAUUUUAUUAGUCUUUAAAAAAAAAAAGGAACCUGAACUUUUCUAACACAGCUGGAACAAUUCACAGCAGCCGCGGCAGCCGCAGCAGCAGAAGAAAAGGUUUAAUUUAGUUGAUUUUCUGUGGUUGUUGAUUGUUCGCCAG
rnacentral:lncRNA from 1 species